UGCUUGUUUCAGCAGCACAUAUGCUAAAAUCGGAAUGAUACAGAGAUUAGCAUGGUCUCUGUGAAAGGAUAAC
rnacentral:snRNA from 1 species